rnacentral:rRNA from 1 species
GACGAACGCUGGCGGCGUGCUUAACACAUGCAAGUCGAACGGAAAGGCCCUGCUUUUGUGGGAUGCUCGAGUGGCGAACGGGUGAGUAACACGUGAGUAACCUGCCCUUGAAUUUGGGAUAACUUCAGGAAAAUGGGGCUAAUACCGGAUAGGAGAUCCUGCUGCAUGGUGGGGGUUGGAAAGUUUCGGCGGGUGGGGAUGGACUCGCGGCUUACCAGUUUGUUGGUGGGGUAGUGGCUUACCAAGGUAUUGACGGGUAGCCGGCCUGGGAGGGUGACCGGCCACAUUGGGACUGAGAGAGGGACCAGACUCCUACGGGAGGCAGCGGUGGGGAGUAUGGCACAGUGGGCGGAAGCCUGAUGCGGCAACGCCGGGUGCGGGAUGACGGCCUUCGGGUUGUAAACCGCUUUCGCCUGUGACGAAGCGUGAGUGACGGUAAUGGAUAAAGAAGCACCGGCUAACUACGUG